GACGUAGGGGGCAAGCGUUAUUCGGAAUCAUUGGGCGUAAAGCGCUCGUAGGCGGGAAGGCAAGUCCGUGUUGAAAGACCUCGGCUCAACUGAGGGACCGGCUCGGAUACUGUUUUUCUUGAGGCAUUCAGAGGGUGAUGGAAUUCCCGGUGUAGCGGUGAAAUGCGUAGAGAUCGGGAGGAACACCAGUGGCGAAGGCGGCCGGCUGGGGGUGACCUGACGCUGAGGCGCGAAAGCGUGGGGAGCGAACCGG
rnacentral:rRNA from 1 species